UACAUGGGGUGCAAACGUUGCUCGGAAUUAUUGGGCGUAAAGCGCACGUAGGCGGUCCGAUAAGUCGGAUGUGAAAGCCCUGGGCUCAACCUAGGAAGUGCAUUCGAAACUGUCGGACUUGAGUACGGGAGAGGGUUGCGGAAUUCCCGGUGUAGAGGUGAAAUUCGUAGAUAUCGGGAGGAACACCCGGGGCGAAGGCGGCCCUCUGGCUCGACCCUGACGCUGAGGCGCGAAAGCGUGGGGAGCGAACGGG
rnacentral:rRNA from 1 species